UGUUGUGAUUGGAAAGCUGACAGAAAAACAGUCAUUUGGGGAGGUGAGCAUCCUUUCAGAGCAGCCCUCUACCUGCACUAUCAUCACGGCAACAGAGGUGGAGCUAGGAGUCAUCCAGCCAGAAGCUUUAAAAGGUCUUGAUAAAGUGACACGAUCACUGAUGCUACAGACAGCACAACCUACAUAUGGAAAACUAUCUCAGGAGGAGAUUAACAAGGAGUAUCUGAGACGAGAGAAGCAGAAAAAAUGGGAGCACAUUAAGCGCACAGUGGUUGCAGAGGCCCUGUUUUACAAUGGAAUCAUGCCUGGCACUGGGAAGUGGUCUCCACGCAGGGGUGGAAGACAACAUGACCGAAACGCCUGUCAUUCACAGUCUCAGUAAAUACAUGAGCUAUACAUGAGCAUCAUAAAUGAAUAUGGAGAUGUUUUUUCUUUCCAUCUCUUUUCCACCAAAUGCACUGACAGUUUGAGUUUGACAGAACGCCAUCACCUAAACCUUCAUCAGAACCCAGGAAAAGUAUUGCCUGAGUUCUGAUCUUUGUGCUUUUCCUUGCAAGCAAACCUCCGUCUGUUUUCUUCACUGCAUUGUGAAAAUUAAACAUAAAAAACUUUAACACAAUGUAAUUAUUCUCAAUUAGCCAGCUUGCUGUGCUUCCUAAUGUCAUGCUGGAAACUCAAAGGAAGGAAAUCUCUUUCAGAACACAAAAUAACCUCACAAUUAGCCUAUUUACUCCAGCUAAUGACAAUCCUAAAAUACUGAGAUAACAAGAAGGGUGGUUAAUAAAAAAACUAACCUCCUGCUGGAUUAAAGUGUCAGCUUCUCAGGACAGCCAGCUAGGGGAAUACCCUUUUCUAAUCAUAACUGUGUAGUGUUGUUUUGUAUUACUGUCUAGUGUCUUUUGGAAAGCAAAAUCCCUAGUUCUCCACAAGCUUUGGUUUCUUCCCGUCUCUGAAUCUUCAGACUGGUUUCUUUGAUUGAUCCCAGAGGAUGAGGCUUCUUUAGUUCCCUUUGCAGCAUAUACUGUCGUCUUAAAAAGGAAAGUGCAUCAAGCCUUGCAUGAUGGUGAAUCUUUCAUGAGGGCUUGAAUAAUUUAUUGAUAAGGAAUCACACUGCAAAUGCCCAAAUUCAAUCAACAUUUUAUGAAAAGAUCGAAUUCUCUUCUCUCUGUUGUGCAGGACAUCCCAUAGAAUUACAUUAAUUUCCUGCACAUUAUUUGUUUAGUUUUACUCAACAUGAGACCUCUCACUGGAUUUUUUCCACCCUGUAGCAAAGUAGCCCUCUGUUUUCUCCAUAAAAGAAUACACACAACAAAGAAACUGUUCACAAGAAAACACAGAAUCAUCAGAAAACACAGAAUCAAACUCUCCAACUCUGGUUUUAUUUUCUGUUCUUCUGUUCAGAACUUUGCUAUGAACCACAGGCUCAUUCACUUUUUUCUUUUAAAACCUUGCAGACAAAACUACAUUUAUUACAAUUGGGAACUGCUAACUGUUAAUGAACUCUACAACUUCACUGCUGUGCUGGCACAGUGACAUGAAAAUUGAAGACAGUGGUGUCAAACACCUGACUUCUUCUCUGUGAGCACACAGUGUCAGCAGCAGAGCAAAGUCUGGGGGGAGGUCAGAUGCAGCUUUCACUGAUGACACUCACUAGCAACAAGCUGGCUACAGGGGCACUGUUGUACAGCACAUCAGGUUUUCUAACUUUCAAGGGUUUAAGAACCCUAAUUUACUUACAGUACUUAAAAAUCCCAAUAUAUGUUAUUUAUGCAUUAUGUUCCAUGAUUAUCAUUUGCAUUUAGUUGUACAUUUUAUUUACAUUUUAAAGCAUUUUAAAGCCUAGAGCAAGCUGUACUUAAACUCCAAACAAAAACCAAAUUAAAAAUAUAAUGAUAAUCCUGCUUCAGAAGUUUAAUAAAGUGAGAACAGUACAGUGAUUAAUAACUUUCAAUCUUCUUUGGUAACUCUCUACCCUCUGCCUACUUUCCCUAUGAAUUUUAAAAAGGCUUCCAUAACCCUUUACCUUAAAACUCUUCCAUGGAACUGUCUUCCUGUUUUCAUCCAUGUUUUACUGCUACAAUACAGGGUCAUGGAGCAUAUUGUGGAAAGAAACAGGCAUAAGGUGGGAUACAUCCUGGCCAGUCCAUCACAGUACACAAAUAGGCAUGCACACACUCACACUCAGUUUUCCCAGAAGCCAGUAGGCUUACUAAUAUGUCUUUGGACUGUGGCAGAAAACCAGAGCACCUGGAGGAAACCUAAUAAGAACCUACAAACUCUGGGAAGAUAGUACCCCAGGAAUUGCACCUGUGGCCCCAGUGCUGCAAAGUAGCAAUGCUAAAAACUGCACCACCAUACCACAUCUCCCUGUUUUUUAUUCAUUUUUCUCUCUAAUGAAAUUAGACUGUUUCGUCUUGUAUCCACUUGUUCUCCUCCCUUACACCCCUGUGUUGGAACGAGACUCCUAAGAGCACAGCAGCUGUUCAAAAACCUUCCUGCACCUCCACAGGGUUUGCUGGACUUUUGAAUUGCAUUUUUUAAAGUUGUAGUUUUCUGCUGGGUUUUGCAUUGGUUUUGAUUCAAUUAUUGUAAACUGUACUUGCACUGGUCAUAGUUUGUGCAAAGCACUGAGAAUGUUUCACCAUAACAAUAAAUAUGUAAUAAAGAUUCAGUUUAAUCUGGGAGCUGAACUGUUUUAUCAACAGCUUCUGUUUUAUUUUGACUGGAAAUGUUUAUGAUCUCUAAGGUGACUCAUCUCUGUCUUUACAUUAUGUGUAGUUAAAUACAACAAAACACAUUUUUUUAUUCCAAUGAACAGAAACCCUCUUUACCUAAAGACAUUUGUAGUCAACACAAUAAAGUAUGGAAACUCCUGUGCUGUGUCUAA